rnacentral:Y_RNA from 1 species
GGCUAGUCCGAAGGUGGUGAGUUAUCUCAACUGAUUAUUCAGUUGAGAUAGCAGUUAUUGAUCGAACAGUUACAGUUACAGAUCGAACUCCUUGUUCUACUCUUUCCCCCUUCUCACUACCGUACUUGACUAGUAAAA